ensembl:lncRNA
UAUUAUGUUCAGAUAUUUAACAUGUAUGCAUACAAUGUACGAUGUUUGAUGUUUUCUCUUAUUUUAGAAAGUGGGUGAGCUGUAUCAGCAGAAAGAAAAGAGUGUGGAGGUUCACUUUGAGUCAGUAGUAGGUGAUUGGUUCUCUCAACUGGCUCAGAAAGUAGAAGCAGUGAGAAAAAAUAGAAGGGGGAGCUGGAGGACCUGGUGAAGAGCAGGAAUCAGUCUCCUGGUUUUCUCAUAUCUAUCAUAAAUGACUUCCUUCUGGAGGUGGACAGUCUUUCAAUUAGUCAGUGCCUGGAGAGUCUGAAGGUGUGCAGGUGGAAGUAUAGUCAUUGGUUUUUGGUUACUAAUUAGGUACAAGCAUUAUAAUAUGGCUUAAAGAAGUACAGUUAAAUAAAUGUUUGUACACGUGCAUGCAAACAAAUGUAUAUGUGAAUAAAUGACUGGAUAUCUUCAGAGUAUUGUAUGUCAAAUUUGUGUGAAUGUGAUAUCUCCUGUACAGUAUGAUAUUGUUUCUGGUAGAGCACUGUCAUUACUCUACCUGUCUGUCUUGUUUUAAUAGGAAGCUCAUCAUUGACGGCAUUGUUCACUGAUGACAGCAAUGAGUCAGUGUCAGUGGAGGAUGUUGAGGUUCAGGCUUUUGAGAAAUUUUGUGAGUGGAAGAAUCAAAAACAUCAGAACUCUAAAAGUGUCCAACAGGCAACAGAUAAGGCCCUCUGUGCUCUGAGUGACUGGGCAGCCAAUGCCUGCAAGUUUUCUGUUUGAUAGAGAAGAGUGGCGUGGCGUGAACCUGCAGGCUGUUGCCAAGGGUUUGGACGACAUUCUGAAGCAGGCUGAGUCCAAUGUGUGUGAGGAGUUGAAUAUUCAUCUCUUUGAGUGUCAGUCUUUUUAAUAUCCUCACUUCACACUUUUCAGACUUCUCAAUAAGGAUUGUGUACUGGAUGUUCUGUCCUAAAUGUGGAUCUGCCCAUCACUACUUGUUUUAGGCCCAAUCUAGCAUUCCUUUGUAAUUGACGCCUGCCUGAAUUGGAACUCACAGAUGUCACGUUUAAGCUUAUUGCAAGAUCUUAUAUUCUUUAGUAAGUGAAGUCUGCUCAGAAGUUGGCAUGGCUAGUAAAGAGCUUUUUUCAUUUGUGCCCUGAAAAACUUAAUAGUUGCUUUAGUGCUAAGCUUCUACUGUGAGUAUCUGUGUUUUUGAGAAUUUUUAUAGGAUCUUAG